GAUGAACGCUGGCGGCGUGCCUAAUACAUGCAAGUCGAGCGAACAGACGAGGAGCUUGCUCCUCUGACGUUAGCGGCGGACGGGUGAGUAACACGUGGAUAACCUACCUAUAAGACUGGGAUCACUUCGGGAAACCGGAGCUAAUACCGGAUAAUAUCUUGAACCGCAUGGUUCAAUAGUGAAAGACGGUUUUGCUGUCACUUCUAGCUGGAUCCGCGCCGCAUUAGCUAGUUGGUAAGGUAACGGCUUACCAAGGCAACGAUGCGUAGCCGACCUGAGAGAGGGAUCGGCCACACUGGAACUGGAACACGGUCCAGACUCCUACGGGAGGCAGCAGUAGGGAAUCUUCCGCAAUGGGCGAAAGCCUUACGGAGCAACGCCGCGUGAGUGAUGAAGGUCUUCGGAUCGUAAAACUCUGUUAUUAGGGAAGAACAAAUGUGUAAGUAACUAUGCACGUCUUGACGGUACCGAAUCAGAAAGCCACGGCUAACUACGUG
rnacentral:rRNA from 1 species